UCGGGUAUGGUGUAACGGCUAACAUUGCCGCCUUUCAUGUUAUUUGAAUUGCAUCGCGGCAGCUCGGGGUUCGAUUCCCCGUACCCGAA